GUCGGGAUAGCUCAGUUGGAAGAGCAGAGGACUGAAA
rnacentral:tRNA from 1 species